UACGAAGGGGGCUAGCGUUGCUCGGAAUUACUGGGCGUAAAGCGCACGUAGGCGGCUUUCUAAGUCGGGGGUGAAAUCCUGGAGCUCAACUCCAGAACUGCCUUUGAUACUGGCGAUCUUGAGUCCGGGAGAGGUGAGUGGAACUGCGAGUGUAGAGGUGAAAUUCGUAGAUAUUCGCAAGAACACCAGUGGCGAAGGCGGCUCACUGGCCCGGUACUGACGCUGAGGUGCGAAAGCGUGGGGAGCAAACAGG
rnacentral:rRNA from 1 species